AAAGAACGCUGGCGGCAGGCUUAACACAUGCAAGUCGAGCGCCCCGCAAGGGGAGCGGCAGACGGGUGAGUAACGCGUGGGAAUCUACCCAUCUCUACGGAAUAACGCAUGGAAACGUGCGCUAAUACCGUAUACGUCCUUCGGGAGAAAGAUUUAUCGGAGAUGGAUGAGCCCGCGUUGGAUUAGCUAGUUGGUGGGGUAAAGGCCUACCAAGGCGACGAUCCAUAGCUGGUCUGAGAGGAUGAUCAGCCACACGGGGACUGAGACACGGCCCAGACUCCUACGGGAGGCAGCAUUGGGGAAUAUUGGACAAUGGGCGCAAGCCUGAUCCAGCCAUGCCGCGUGAGUGAUGAAGGCCCUAGGGUUGUAAAGCUCUUUCACCGGUGAAGAUAAUGACGGUAACCGGAGAAGAAGCCCCGGCUAACUUCGUGCCAGCCGCCGCCGUAAAAC
rnacentral:rRNA from 1 species